AAUACACCAGUUUCACAUUUAACUGCGCAUGUCUAAUCUAAUUAGCAAAACUAUGAAAUCACGCGAUAAUUCUUGAGAGUUUAUCAACUGGGGGCUAACGGUUGUAAGCAGUGACCAUUAAGACUUGGAAAAACAAGCAUCUGAUUGAGUUUUUGCGUUUACAUUAAUUUCUAACAACAUGAGCAUCAUUUGAAUCAAAAUGUAAAAUUUAUAUUGACCAGACAACUUUAAUUAUUAACAAUUGACACAUUAAAAGAUUUUAAAACGGACUACUGCUGUGUUGUUUAUUGCAGUAAUAUACGAUCUGAAAUGCCGCCUGACUUUAUAUUAAUUGUACCUUUAAAUGUCACGAAUUCACGCCGAGAUCGUUCACCAAACGGGAAGAAUAAAUUAAAUAAAUAAGCGGGGCUCACUUCAUAUACAUAGUAUUAGGUCAUAAAUUAAGAAGGCAAUUAAGAUAAAUUAACACCUUGGCCAUGUGGAAUCCUCGUUUCACCUUGUAUAAUCUCACCAGGUGAAAACUGAUAAAAACGUACCCUUUUCUGCAUAUACAGUUACUGAAAAAGGGUGACCAUUUGAUAAUUUAUUCAACUUUUGUACACAAUUAUUUCCUGUAUUUUGUGUUGCAGAUCAUUCUUUUCCAUCCUGCCUAGGUCAUAAUUAUUUAUUAGGAAAUUAGUCUAAGAAUAUUAUUUUUCUACACCCCCACUGACCCCUCCUGAAAAUCAAUUGGUCAUCCCUUAAUACAAAUGUUUGAAAUGUUAACCCUGGUACCUUAUUAACACUGAGAUAUCAUGGCCAGUGUGGUUAAUGCCACUGGGAAUAUUUUAAUAAUUUAGGAGGGGGUCAUGCAGCAUUUGAUCUUAAUUUAAGGCAUAUAUCGCUCGUUGUAAAUACAGGAUAUUCAAUUACUUUUAAUGGCACGAAAAAUGAUAAAGUUGACAAUAUGUAGAAAAUUACUCGCCUCGCUGGCACUGAACCUCUGCUAAGACGAAAUCGAUCAUGAACAUAGCUUAGAAAUUAAAAUGAUAUUGAAUGCAUUGUAUUAUAGUCUGAUCUUUGAAAAUUGAAGAUGAACCUGUAUUUCUGAUACGUAUUUUAAAACUGCCUUAUAUCUCGCUUCAUUUAUAUCAUGGCCGUCUAAAACAUCAUUGACACAGAAAUAUUUGAAACAAAUGUACAUACAAAUAAGCAGAUGUGGUAUGAGUGCCAAUGAUUGCCAAUGAAUGCCUCUGAUCGCCUCUGUUUAAUCCAUACAAAAUGCUUCAUAUUUUCACAGCGUAUAGCUUGAAAACAAACUCGGUGACCUAUCAUUGUGUUUUUCAUAUUGUUAGCACAUCACAAUAAUUAUGUACUACAUCUUUGACAAUCUUGAGUAUGUAAGGAAAAAUUCUAUCAAUUUUCGUUAAACAUUAUAUAUAGUAGUGCCGGUAUCUUGUCCUUGUAUCCAUAAAAUUUCACGCAAAAGUCACCAUAACAGUAACCUGUAUAUUUUUUAAAGAAAAUUAAAAGUUCGAGUCUAUGAUACUAAACCUAUAUGUAGGUCGUAACCCUUUACAGUCCUCUACAUGCAUGUGAAGAAAUGUAAAAAUUUAAGAAAAACUGGAACAGAACUGAAAUUAAAUGAAUUUCUGAUGUUUAGGCUGUUUUCUCUUUAUCAAAAUAUUUUUCUCUUUUCACGAAAAAUCAAACUCACAUACAGCAAUGUACAUAGCGCAGUAAUUAUAAGCAAAAGAAAGCAAUUACAAGAUUAUACUGUGUUAAAACCAUUUUACUCAUAAACACAACUGUUAUGAACUCUUUACAGCAACAAGAUGACUUAUUUUCUCGUUUGAAUUGUUUUGUGUCGAGACCAUUUAGAGAGUACUAUUCGGUAUAGAUUUUCUCAUUGUCGAGGGCUGUAUGGUGACAUAUGGUUGCUUUCAUCUGUCAUUUGCUUCUGGUGGAUAGUUGUCUCGUUUGCAAUCAUACCACAUCUUUAUAUUUUGAAUUUAUGUUAUUCUCUGUAUACAUGGUAUAGACGGUAAAACUAUUUAUUCUAAAUAUAUAAAAUAAACGAUUAUUAAUAUCUUCAAAAUAAAUAAUCUCCAGCAUACAUCACGAGAGACAGAGAUGUUGUUUAACAAUCGGUUGAUUUAUUAUUGUGUUGCUAAAUUCAGUAGCCCCCUGUCACGUAUGAUAUCGUUAAUUGUCGCGAGAUUUAAACUCAAACGCGCAUAAGAUUUCGAGAUCGGCGUUGAUUAGUAGCUUAUGUGAAAC
rnacentral:lncRNA from 1 species